rnacentral:rRNA from 1 species
ACGAACAGUUGGAAACGAACUGCUAAUAACCGCAUAAGCCCACCGGGUCGGCAUCGACCAGAGGGAAAAGGAGCAAUCCGCUUUGAGAUGGCCUCGCGUCCGAUUAGCUAGUUGGUGAGGUAAUGGCCCACCAAGGCAACGAUCGGUAGCCGGACUGAGAGGUUGAACGGCCACAUUGGGACUGAGACACGGCCCAGACUCCUACGGGAGGCAGCAUG